GACGAACGCUGGCGGCGUGCCUAAUACAUGCAAGUAGAACGCUGAAGAGAGGAGCUUGCUCUUCUUGGAUGAGUUGCGAACGGGUGAGUAACGCGUAGGUAACCUGCCUUGUAGCGGGGGAUAACUAUUGGAAACGAUAGCUAAUACCGCAUAACAAUGGAUGACACAUGUCAUUUAUUUGAAAGGGGCAAUUGCUCCACUACAAGAUGGACCUGCGUUGUAUUAGCUAGUAGGUGAGGUAACGGCUCACCUAGGCGACGAUACAUAGCCGACCUGAGAGGGUGAUCGGCCACGCUGGGACUGAGACACGGCCCAGACUCCUACGGGAGGCAGCAGUAGGGAAUCUUCGGCGAUGGGGGCAACCCUGACCGAGCAACGCCGCGUGAGUGAAGAAGGUUUUCGGAUCGUAAAGCUCUGUUGUAAGUCAAGAACGAGUGUGAGAGUGGAAAGUUCACACUGUGACGGUAGCUUACCAGAAAGGGACGGCUAACUACGUGCCAGCAGCCGCGGUAAUACGUAGGUCCCGAGCGUUGUCCGGAUUUAUUGGGCGUAAAGCGAGCGCAGGCGGUUUGAUAAGUCUGAAGUUAAAGGCUGUGGCUCAACCAUAGUUCGCUUUGGAAACUGUCAAACUUGAGUGCAGAAGGGGAGAGUGGAAUUCCAUGUGUAGCGGUGAAAUGCGUAGAUAUAUGGAGGAACACCGGUGGCGAAAGCGGCUCUCUGGUCUGUAACUGACGCUGAGGCUCGAAAGCGUGGGGAGCGAACAGGAUUAGAUACCCUGGUAGUCCACGCCGUAAACGAUGAGUGCUAGGUGUUGGAUCCUUUCCGGGAUUCAGUGCCGCAGCUAACGCAUUAAGCACUCCGCCUGGGGAGUACGACCGCAAGGUCGAAACUCAAAGGAAUUGACGGGGGCCCGCACAAGCGGUGGAGCAUGUGGUUUAAUUCGAAGCAACGCGAAGAACCUUACCAGGUCUUGACAUCCCGAUGCUAUUUCUAGAGAUAGAAAGUUACUUCGGUACAUCGGUGACAGGUGGUGCAUGGUUGUCGUCAGCUCGUGUCGUGAGAUGUUGGGUUAAGUCCCGCAACGAGCGCAACCCCUAUUGUUAGUUGCCAUCAUUCAGUUGGGCACUCUAGCGAGACUGCCGGUAAUAAACCGGAGGAAGGUGGGGAUGACGUCAAAUCAUCAUGCCCCUUAUGACCUGGGCUACACACGUGCUACAAUGGUUGGUACAACGAGUUGCGAGUCGGUGACGGCAAGCUAAUCUCUUAAAGCCAAUCUCAGUUCGGAUUGUAGGCUGCAACUCGCCUACAUGAAGUCGGAAUCGCUAGUAAUCGCGGAUCAGCACGCCGCGGUGAAUACGUUCCCGGGCCU
rnacentral:rRNA from 1 species